AUUAGAUGAGCCUAUAUUAGAUUAGCUAGUUGGUGGAGUAAUAGCCUACCAAGGCAAUGAUCUAUAGCUGAUCUGAGAGGAUGAUCAGCCACACUGGAACUGAGAUACGGUCCAGACUCCUACGGGAGGCAGCAGUGGGGAAUAUUGGACAAUGGGCGAAAGCCUGAUCCAGCCAUGCCGCAUGAGUGAAGAAGGCCUUUGGGUUGUAAAGCUCUUUUAGUGAGGAAGAUAAUGACGGUACUCACAGAAGAAGUCCUGGCUAACUCCGUGCCAGCAGCCGCGGUAAUACGGAGAGGGCUAGCGUUAUUCGGAAUUAUUGGGCGUAAAGGGCGCGUAGACUUAUUAAUAAGGUAAAAGCGAAAUCCUGAGGAUUAACCUUGGAAUUGCUUUUAAAAGUAUUAAUCUAGAGAUUGAAAGAGGAUAGAGGAAUUCCUGAUGUAGAGGUAAAAUUCGUAAAUAUUAGGAGGAACACCAGUGGCGAAGGCGUCUAUCUGGUUCAAAUCUGACGCUGAAGCGCGAAGGCGUGGGGAGCAAACAGGAUUAGAUACCCUGGUAGUCCACGCUGUAAACGAUGAAUGUUAAAUAUGGGAAG
rnacentral:rRNA from 1 species